rnacentral:rRNA from 1 species
AUGGAAUUAAGAUUUCCCAGGUUUAGCCAAGGCUUAGCUCAGGACCCCACUACUCGUCGUAUUUUGUUUGGUAUUGCUACCGCACAUGAUUUUGAAAGUCAUGAUGAUAUUACUGAAGAACGUCUUUAUCAGAACAUUUUUGCUUCUCACUUUGGGCAAUUAGCAAUAAUCUUUCUAUGGACGUCCGAAAAUCUGUUUCAUGUAGCUUGGCAAGGAAAUUUUGAAUCAUGGAUACAGGAUCCUUUACACGUAAGACCUAUUGCUCAUGCGAUUUGGGAUCCUCAUUUUGGUCAACCCGCUUUGGAAGCCUUUAAUCAAGGAGGUGCUCCUGGUCCAAUGAAUAUUGCUUAUUCUGGAGUUUAUCAGUGGUGGUAUACAAUAGGAUUACGCACCAAUGAGGAUCUUUAUACUGGAGCUCUUUUUCUAUUAUUUCUUUCUACGAUGUCCUUAAUAGCGGGUUGGUUACAUCUACAACCCAAAUGGAAACCAAGCCUUUCGUGGUUCAAAAACGCGGAAUCUCGUCUCAAUCAUCAUUUGUCAGGACUAUUCGGGGUAAGUUCUUUGGCUUGGACAAGACAUUUAGUUCAUGUUGCUAUUCCCGCAUCCAGGGGGAGUACGUUCCAUGGAAUAAUUUCUUAG